rnacentral:lncRNA from 1 species
AACUUACCCGUGAGCAUAGAGUAUUCGUGAACCCCUUUGAGCUUAAACAGUUGAAUCUCAGCUUGAAAUAAGGUGAGAUGUCAAAAUCUUUUUUCUUGAAACCCUGAAAUUUUUGAUAAUUGUUCUUUUGCCGUAAAAAGUCAAGAGCAUUCACUUAGGGUGAGUAAAAGAUAAGUUGGAGAGAACGAAAAUGAGAAUCGGUAGGUGCCACAACUCUUGAAUAACCGAGCAAGCAUUGAAAAAAAAAUAUUAUUUAGAAAAGAGAAACAUCUGUUUUGUGAAU